UACGUAGGGGGCAAGCGUUGUCCGGAAUCAUUGGGCGUAAAGAGCGUGUAGGCGGCCUGGUAAGUCCGCUGUGAAAGUCCAGGGCUCAACCCUGGAAUGCCGGUGGAAACUGUCAGGCUCGAGUCCGGAAGAGGCGAGUGGAAUUCCUGGUGUAGCGGUGAAAUGCGCAGAUAUCAGGAGGAACACCAAUGGCGAAGGCAGCUCGCUGGGACGGUACUGACGCUGAGACACGAAAGCCAGGGGAGCAAACGGG
rnacentral:rRNA from 1 species